CAUCUGUAGCCCCUUGCUGUACAGUGUCAUCAUAUCCAAUAAGGCUUGCUUUUCUCUGAUUUUAGGGGUGUAUAUAAUAGGCCUGGUUUGUGCAUCAGUUCAUACAGGCUGUAUGUUUAGGGUUCAAUUCUGCAAAUUUGAUUUGAUUAACCAUUAUUUCUGUGAUCUUCUUCCCCUCCUAAAGCUCUCUUGCUCUAGUAUCUAUGUCAACAAACUACUUAUUCUAUGUGUUGGUGCAUUUAACAUCCUUGUCCCCAGCCUGACCAUCCUUUGCUCUUACAUCUUUAUUAUUGCCAGCAUCCUCCACAUUCGCUCCACUGAGGGCAGGUCCAAAGCCUUCAGCACUUGUAGCUCCCACAUGUUGGCGGUUGUAAUCUUUUUUGGAUCUGCAGCAUUCAUGUACUUGCAGCCAUCUUCAAUCAGCUCCAUGGACCAGGGGAAAGUAUCCUCUGUGUUUUAUACUAUUAUUGUG
rnacentral:lncRNA from 1 species